GAUGCGAUGUGAAUUCAAUUGACAUCUUACCCGACAGCAUUAGACUUGUUAUGCAUUCUCUAAUACUGUCUGGUAAUGAUGUUAAUAGAUUUCACCAUCUC